GGAUGUCCUUACUGGCUUG
rnacentral:misc_RNA from 1 species